rnacentral:rRNA from 1 species
AACGAACGCUGGCGGCAUGCCUAACACAUGCAAGUCGAACGAGACCUUCGGGUCUAGUGGCGCACGGGUGCGUAACGCGUGGGAACCUGCCCUUAGGUUCGGAAUAACUCCCCGAAAGGGGUGCUAAUACCGGAUAAUGUCUUCGGACCAAAGAUUUAUCGCCUUUGGAUGGGCCCGCGUUGGAUUAGCUAGUUGGUAGGGUAAAAGCCUACCAAGGCGACGAUCCAUAGCUGGUCUGAGAGGAUGAUCAGCCACACUGGGACUGAGACACGGCCCAGACUCGAGGGGGGGGAAGCGGUGGAGAAUGUGAGGCAGGGGGAAAAGGCCUGAGCAGGCAAAGGGGUGUGGGGGCGGAGGGGGUGGGGGUGGAAAAGUCUUUGGACCGGGAAUAAAAAAGACAGGGCAGGAAGAAAAAGCUCCGACGAACGCCGGGCAAGCAGCGGAGGUAAUAAUGGGAAGAGCACACGCUGGGAC